rnacentral:rRNA from 1 species
GACGAACGCUGGCGGCGUGCUUAACACAUGCAAGUCGAACGGAAAGGCCCUGCUUUUGUGGGGUGCUCGAGUGGCGAACGGGUGAGUAACACGUGAGUAACCUGCCCUUGACUUUGGGAUAACUUCAGGAAACUGGGGCUAAUACCGGAUAGGAGCUCCUGCUGCAUGGUGGGGGUUGGAAAGUUUCGGCGGUUGGGGAUGGACUCGCGGCUUAUCAGCUUGUUGGUGGGGUAGUGGCUUACCAAGGCUUUGACGGGUAGCCGGCCUGAGAGGGUGACCGGCCACAUUGGGACUGAGAGACGGCCCAGACCCCUACGGGGGGGAGCAGGGGGGAAUAUUGCAAAAUGGGGGGAAGCCUGAUGCAGCAACGCCGGGUGCGGGAAGAAGGCCUUCGGGUUGUAAACCGCUUUCGCCUGUGACGAAGCGUGAGUGACGGUAAUGGGUAAAGAAGCACCGGCUAACUACGUG